rnacentral:rRNA from 1 species
CCUACGGGAGGCAGCAGUGGGGAAUAUUGCACAAUGGGCGAAACCCUGAUGCAGCAACGCCGCGUGAAGGAAGAAGGGUUUCGGUUCGUAAACUUCUAUCAACAGGGAAGAAAGAAACGACGGUUCAUGAAUAAGAAGCCCCGGCUAACUUCGUGCCAGACGCCGCGGUAAUACGUAGGGAGCAAGCGUUAUCCGGAUUUACUGGGUGUAAAGGGUGAGUAGGCGGCAUGGUAAGCCAGAUGUGAAAGGCUUGGGCUUAACCAGAGUAUUGCAUUUGAAACUGGCAAGCUAGAGUACAGGAGAGGAAAGCGGAAUUCCUAGUGUAGCGGUGAAAUGCGUAGAUAUUAGGAAGAACACCGGUGGCGAAGGCGGCUUUCUGGACUGUAACUGACGCUGAGGCUCGAAAGCGUGGGGAGCAAACAGGAUUAGAUACCCGAGUAGUC